rnacentral:rRNA from 1 species
AUUGAACGCUGGCGGCAUGCCUUACACAUGCAAGUCGAACGGUAACAGGUCUUCGGAUGCUGACGAGUGGCGAACGGGUGAGUAAUACAUCGGAGCGUGCCCGAGAGUGGGGGAUAACGAGGCGAAAGCUUUGCUAACACCGCAUACGAUCUCAGGAUGAAAGCAGGGGACCGCAAGGCCUUGCGCUCACGGAGCGGCCGAUGGCAGAUUAGGUAGUUGGUGGGAUAAAAGCUUACCAAGCCGACGAUCUGUAGCUGGUCUGAGAGGACGACCGGCCACACUGGGACUGAGACACGGCCCAGACUCCUACGGGAGGCAGCAGUGGGGAAUUUUGGACAAUGGGCGCAAGCCUGAUCCAGCCAUGCCGCGUGCAGGAUGAAGGCCUUCGGGUUGUAAACUGCUUUUGUACGGAACGAAAAGACUCUGGUUAAUACCUGGGGUCCAUGACGGUACCGUAAGAAUAAGCACCGGCUAACUACGUGCCAGCCGCCGCCGUAACAC